rnacentral:lncRNA from 1 species
UAUUGCAAAUUUUGUAAUGAGAUAGAGGACGAAAAACACUUCUUUCUCAAAUGCCCUAAAUAUAUCUUUUAUAGAAACAAAUAUUUUGACUUAAUGAAAACCAAUUCAGAGUGGAAAGAUACUGCUAAAGAUGACAUGCUUAAACUUAAAAUAAUACUAAACCCAACAUCUCACAGUCAAAUUAAAAAUACAGUUUCCUUUAUUAGACAGUCAUUAGAACUGAGG